UAGGGAAUCUUCGGCAAUGGACGGAAGUCUGACCGAGCAACGCCGCGUGAGUGAAGAAGGUUUUCGGAUCGUAAAGCUCUGUUGUAAGAGAAGAACGAGUGUGAGAGUGGAAAGUUCACACUGUGACGGUAUCUUACCAGAAAGGGACGGCUAACUACGUGCCAGCAGCCGCGGUAAUACGUAGGUCCCGAGCGUUGUCCGGAAUUAUUGGGCGUAAAGCGCGCGCAGGUGGUUUAAUAAGUCUGAUGUGAAAGCCCACGGCUCAACCGUGGAGGGUCAUUGGAAACUGUUAAACUUGAGUGCAGGAGAGAAAAGUGGAAUUCCUAGUGUGGCGGUGAAAUGCGUAGAGAUUAGGAGGAACACCAGUGGCGAAGGCGGCUUUUUGGCCUGUAACUGACACUGAGGCGCGAAAGCGUGGGGAGCAAACAGGAUUAGAUACCCUGGUAGUCCACGCCGUAAACGAUGAGUGCUAAGUGUUGGUCUCAUAAGAGAUCAGUGCUGCAGCUAACGCAUUAAGCACUCCGCCUGGGGAGUACGACCGCAAGGUUG
rnacentral:rRNA from 1 species